GAUUAUAACAAACAUAGCUCAGUUGGUCAGAGUGUGGUGCUGAUAACGCCAAGGUUGCAGGUUCAAUCCCCUUAUGGGACA
rnacentral:tRNA from 1 species